rnacentral:rRNA from 1 species
GAUGAACGCUGGCGGCGUGCCUAAUACAUGCAAGUCGAGCGAAUGGAUUAAGAGCUUGCUCUUAUGAAGUUAGCGGCGGACGGGUGAGUAACACGUGGGUAACCUGCCCAUAAGACUGGGAUAACUCCGGGAAACCGGGGCUAAUACCGGAUAACAUUUUGAACCGCAUGGUUCGAAAUUGAAAGGCGGCUUCGGCUGUCACUUAUGGAUGGACCCGCGUCGCAUUAGCUAGUUGGUGAGGUAACGGCUCACCAAGGCAACGAUGCGUAGCCGACCUGAGAGGGUGAGCGGCCACACUGGGACUAAGACACGGCCCAGACUCCUACGGGAGGUAGCAGUAGGGAAUCUUCCGCAAUGGACGAAAGUCUGACGGAGCAACGCCGCGUGAGUGAUGAAGGCUUUCGGGUCGUAAAACUCUGUUGUUAGGGAAGAACAAGUGCUAGUUGAAUAAGCUGGCACCUUGACGGUACCUAACCAGAAAGCCACGGCUAACUACGUGCCAGCCGCCGCCGUAA